rnacentral:lncRNA from 1 species
CCGCAAACUUUUCAUUUUGGUAAGGGACCUGACGUCGUACCGACGUUGGUUAGACGUUGAAUUUUGGUCGCGACGUUGGCGACCUAAAUCCAACAUCUAACAAACGUCAUAUCCAUGACGUCUAAUAGACGUCUAGGAAACGUUGGAAUUAGGUUGGAUAGAUAGUCUGUUUUGUAUUUUGUUAUAACACUUACUGAAAUGUAGCAAAACUAGUAUAGUUUAAAGAUAUUUACUUGUUUUCAGGUCUGAACAUGAGCUUAUAAAUAAUAUUUCAUGUACAUUAUCAAAAAAAUAUUUAUUAUGUUACCAAAUUGCAUGAGAUUGUCUAUUUUCAGAACCAGGUUUUUUUUUCAUUAAUUUUAAACUGUUCAGGAAAAAAAUCCAUUCUAUAUACACGUGUAAAUUAUAUUAUUCUUGGUCUUCUUCUACACAUGUUGUCUAUUAGUCAUACAUGUGUUCGCGAGAUAAGCCGCUGAACCGGUUUACACAGUCUCCAGUAAUUCGGUAUUUGUUGGAGCUGGAAAUUUUAGCGGAGUUGAAGAAUCAUGCCAAAAAUGACCAAACUUGAAAGUUUCGAUCAUUGAAAUACCUUUUGGACUUAUUAUAUUAGACUUAGGUCGCCAUAAUAUGAAAUAAUUAAAGAUGAGAAAAUACA